UACGGGAGGGUGCGAGCGUUAAUCGGAAUUACUGGGCGUAAAGCGCGCGUAGGCGGCUUGUCAAGUUGGUUGUGAAAUCCCCGGGCUCAACCUGGGAACUGCAGCCGAUACUAGCAGGCUAGAGUACGAGGAGAGGGGGUGGAAUUCCUAGUGUAGCGGUGAAAUGCGUAGAUAUUAGGAGGAACACCAGUGGCGAAGGNGGCCCCCCUGGUUCGAUACUGACGCUGAGGUGCGAAAGCGUGGGCAGCAAACAGGAUUAGAUA
rnacentral:rRNA from 1 species